rnacentral:tRNA from 1 species
GGGGAUGCAGCUCAGAUGGUAGAGCGCUCGCUUAGCAUGCGAGAGGUACGGGGGGAUUGAUACCCCGCAUCUCCA